rnacentral:rRNA from 1 species
AGUCGACGGUGAAGCCCAGCUUGCUGGGUGGAUCAGUGGCGAACGGGUGAGUAACACGUGAGCAACCUGCCCCGGACUCUGGGAUAAGCGCUGGAAACGGCGUCUAAUACUGGAUACGAGCUGCAACCGCAUGGUUAGCAGUUGGAAAGAUUUUUCGGUCUGGGAUGGGCUCGCGGCCUAUCAGCUUGUUGGUGAGGUAAUGGCUCACCAAGGCGUCGACGGGUAGCCGGCCUGAGAGGGUGACCGGCCACACUGGGACUGAGACACGGCCCAGACUCCUACGGGAGGCAGCAGUGGGGAAUAUUGCACAAUGGGCGGAAGCCUGAUGCAGCAACGCCGCGUGAGGGACGACGGCCUUCGGGUUGUAAACCUCUUUUAGCAAGGAAGAAGCGAAAGUGACGGUACUUGCAGAAAAAGCGCCGGCUAACUACGUGCCAGCAGCCGCGGUAAUACGUAGGGCGCAAGCGUUAUCCGGAAUUAUUGGGCGUAAAGAGCUCGUAGGCGGUUUGUCGCGUCUGCUGUGAAAACCCGAGGCUCAACCUCGGGCCUGCAGUGGGUACGGGCAGACUAGAGUGCGGUAGGGGAGAUUGGAAUUCCUGGUGUAGCGGUGGAAUGCGCAGAUAUCAGGAGGAACACCGAUGGCGAAGGCAGAUCUCUGGGCCGUAACUGACGCUGAGGAGCGAAAGGGUGGGGAGCAAACAGGCUUAGAU